GGUAACAUGGCCGAGACCAGGCGGCGGGUUGUAAACCCGCGGACAGGGCGCAAGACCCUUGGUGCCAA
rnacentral:tRNA from 1 species